CAGGCUGUACAAGGAGAAAUCACAUUGAAAACCCAGGCUGUCCAAGCAGCGUGUCAACUCCAGCGCCACAUGCCUGCCCUUGAUCUUUUCUUUAAAGCUGCUCCAAAUGUAUUGUACUGCCAAGAGUGGUACCAUUCACUCUCCUUUAUGCUCUACACACGGUCCCCAAACACUGUCACAUCUCCCAGUCUCCCCUGCAUCCGCCUCUCAUUUUUUUUCUGGACCUCUGGCUGAUGCGCUCCUCCUAUUUCAGAGUGUGGGAAUUCAGCAGAGACCCCUAGCAGCCACACUGCCACCAAAGAGGCAGUGACUUUUCAGUUUCAUCCACAGACUCCGUUUCCGCAACACAGGUUGUUGAUGAAGAAUCUUGAGCUUCAUUAGGCCAGAAUGUCCUUUUAUCCCCUUCUGAUCUGGAGCAGUUUCUGCAUCUCCCUAUCUUUUAGGAUCUUACCACUGUUAAGGAAUGCAUAUGUGAUGGCUUCCCGUGAGCAGAGUGGAGUUAGGCCUUUUGCACCAAGAUACCACAGAAAUAAGGUGAUGGGUGCAUGCGGUAUGGAGUUGAACCCAAAGGCAUGAGUUGAUGUUUUGAUCCCGCUUGGCUGAGAUCGCUUCUACCAAGUUGCUCUCCUACAAAGAUAAUUAAUAAGUAUUUUGACUUUAUUAUGGAGUAAGUAGCAUUUUCUGAGACGACACUUUGAGACUAUGUAGCUGUCCUGUUUAUGUCAAAUGUCCACCUGCUAGUGGGACAUCCGUUGAUGUCCGUGGAUGUUAGUGUGAUGGUUAUCAAAUUGUGAUUUUCUUUGACACUCUCUCCCCUACUUCUGUAUUGGAGAGUUUUCUGUCAACUAUAACACAGACCAUGCUGUUUCCCCAUGCAUUUGUUAACGUGUGUCCUUAGGGACUUGGAUUGCUAUUCCAGUCAAUGAAUUACAAACUUCACCAUUUUUACCAGAUUUGCUGCUUGCUGUUCCCACGGGGGGGGGGGGGGGUAGGAGGAAGCAGGAGUUCCUUUAUGCCGGAUCCUCUGCCCUUUUUCAUCAUAUUAAAUAUACAUUUUUGCUCAAUAUUCAUCAUUCAUUUGCAAUGUAUCCUUAAGAAUCGUAAAUAUAAUAAACAUUAAUAAAAUUAUAUGUAGAAAAGUAUGCAAAUAUAAAUUUUAAAAGUAUACAUACAUCUUAUUGUAAGAAAUUACCAAACAAGGACAGAAAUAUGGAGCAUAGAGAAGAAAUAUGUAUAUAUAUAUAUAUAGAGAGAGAGAGAAUGUUUCCAGGCUGGCUUUGUUGGGUAGCUGGUGGAUCCACCAUCUGUGAUGCCAGCAUCCCUCACGCGCGCACUGGUUUGAGUCUCAGCUGCUCCGCUUCUGAUGUCUGUGAAUGCACGUGGGAACAGUGGACCAUGGCCCAUUGUGGCCCCUGCACCUCUGCCGAGACCUGGAAUAAGCUCCUGGUUCCUGGCUCUGAGCUGCUUCAGCCCUGGUGGUUACAGCUAGUGGAGAAGAUUCUCUCUUCCUCUCUCUCUCUGCAACUCUGUCUUUCAAGUAAAUAAAUAAACCUUCUUGCAGGGUACACAAACGUGAGAGGGGAUCCCAGGAACCAUCUAGGAGCCACUCAGUGGGAUAAUUGAGCUUUUGUGUGAAGUGGGUGAUUUUAAUGGCAUUCUUGCUGUCAAUAGAUUAGUCCCCUGGAAAGUCCCAGGCCUGCUUUCCUAAGGGAGGGAUGGUACCUACACAGUGAGCAGGAGUGUGCUGAGCGUGGUGAAGGCAAGGGCAACACGAGGUCCCUGCAUGUCAGCAGUAUCAGAGGAAGGGGGAGUUUGGGUGUUGUGGGUGGGCGUGGUCACUUGUUCUCUGCCAGGUGCGUGCCUGAUUAGGUUAGGGCCCUCUCCUGGAUCAUCACAGCCCCAGGUGCCAGCAGGCAGCCUCAUCACCCCGGCUUCCUGGUUCCCUCUCCUGCUUUGCCUCCUGCUGCUCGGUGCAGCCAAGGUCCCCUCUUUUAAAGGGCUUAGGUUAUACACGUGCCUUAAACAAUCCAGUUCUGUGUUGAUGCUCAAAACAGAUUUUGAUUUAUGUGGUUUUUUUUUUAAAGUUAUAUUUAUUUGCAACAUAGAAUAAUAGAAUGAGAGACACAAACAGGGAGAGAUCUUCCAUCUACAACUUUACUCCCCAGGUGUCAACCAUAGCUCGGGCUAGACUGAGCCAAAGCCAGGAGCCAGACAUGCAACCCAGGUCUCCCACGUGGGCAGCAGGUACCUGACUGCCUUAGCUACCCCCUGUUGCAUUGCGGGAUGCAGACAUAUUAGCAGGAAGCUCUGUAUACUGUCACCAGAUUUAAAUCCAGGCAUUCUGGUAUGGGGUAGGAGUGAGCCAAACCUCUUACUGCACCCAAUAAUUACCCUCACAUCUUUGGAUUUCUGUUGAUUAAGUGCCUGGGAACAGGUCUGCUGGGCAAGGAAAUCUGAAUCUGCCUGAUAUUAGUGAACAUUGUCAGUUUUCCAAUUCACGCUUCCCACAAGAUGUGUGGCAUCUUUCCCUAUCCUGGGAUCUUGGGCCUAUACCGCCCCGCCCUUUCUUGGUGUCUCUAAUCCUUCCCUGACAGCUCCGUCUAAUCGGUACAGCCGUGUUUGUUGUCCAUUUAUGCUGCCUCACACUUUGUGGAAAGCGGAUUAGGCACAGGUGUGGGCCCUGUGUGUGGUAAUCAGAGAAGGCAUCUGGGGCGAGACAACCUCUGGCUAGGCAAAGAUCCCCACGGUGGGCAUGUGGGUGCAUCCACUUGCUGGCACUGUUCCUAGUAGCGCUGCUGUAGAGACCAACACCCCCACUUACGUGGUGGGGAUUCAAAUCUGUGUUCUCUCCCCUCAACCAGAAGGCACGGACAGAGGAGAGCAGAAAAGCAGGAUUUAUUGAAGGGCAGAGAGAUUGUGUGUUCAGACAGGCGUGCGGGGAAGCCCAGCAGGAAUUGCCCCACCCCACCCAGGCUGGGAUCCUCUUUGCAAAGGGAGGGCAUGGCUCAGUGAGU